GGCGAACUGGUGAGUAACACGUGGGAAACCUGCCCAGAAGCGGGGGAUAACACCUGGAAACAGAUGCUAAUACCGCAUAACAACUUGGACCGCAUGGUCCGAGCUUGAAAGAUGGCUUCGGCUAUCACUUUUGGAUGGUCCCGCGGCGUAUUAGCUAGAUGGUGGGGUAACGGCUCACCAUGGCAAUGAUACGUAGCCGACCUGAGAGGGUAAUCGGCCACAUUGGGACUGAGACACGGCCCAAACUCCUACGGGAGGCAGCAGUAGGGAAUCUUCCACAAUGGACGAAAGUCUGAUGGAGCAACGCCGCGUGAGUGAAGAAGGGUUUCGGCUCGUAAAACUCUGUUGUUAAAGAAGAACAUAUCUGAGAGUAACUGUUCAGGUAUUGACGGUAUUUAACCAGAAAGCCACGGCUAACUACGUGCCAGCAGCCGCGGUAAUACGUAGGUGGCAAGCGUUGUCCGGAUUUAUUGGGCGUAAAGCGAGCGCAGGCGGUUUUUUAAGUCUGAUGUGAAAGCCUUCGGCUCAACCGAAGAAGUGCAUCGGAAACUGGGAAACUUGAGUGCAGAAGAGGACAGUGGAACUCCAUGUGUAGCGGUGAAAUGCGUAGAUAUAUGGAAGAACACCAGUGGCGAAGGCGGCUGUCUGGUCUGUAACUGACGCUGAGGCUCGAAAGUAUGGGUAGCAAACAGGAUUAGAUACCCUGGUAGUCCAUACCGUAAACGAUGAAUGCUAAGUGUUGGAGGGUUUCCGCCCUUCAGUGCUGCAGCUAACGCAUUAAGCAUUCCGCCUGGGGAGUACGGCCGCAAGGCUGAAACUCAAAGGAAUUGACGGGGGCCCGCACAAGCGGUGGAGCAUGUGGUUUAAUUCGAAGCUACGCGAAGAACCUUACCAGGUCUUGACAUACUAUGCAAAUCUAAGAGAUUAGACGUUCCCUUCGGGGACAUGGAUACAGGUGGUGCAUGGUUGUCGUCAGCUCGUGUCGUGAGAUGUUGGGUUAAGUCCCGCAACGAGCGCAACCCUUAUUAUCAGUUGCCAGCAUUAAGUUGGGCACUCUGGUGAGACUGCCGGUGACAAACCGGAGGAAGGUGGGGAUGACGUCAAAUCAUCAUGCCCCUUAUGACCUGGGCUACACACGUGCUACAAUGGAUGGUACAACGAGUUGCGAACUCGCGAGAGUAAGCUAAUCUCUUAAAGCCAUUCUCAGUUCGGAUUGUAGGCUGCAACUCGCCUACAUGAAGUCGGAAUCGCUAGUAAUCGCGGAUCAGCAUGCCGCGGUGAAUACGUUCCCGGGCCUUGUACACACCGCCCGUCACACCAUGAGAGUUUGUAACACCCAAAGUCGGUGGGGUAA
rnacentral:rRNA from 2 species